CCCCCCCGCCACUCUCCUGCCCAAGGCCGUCAGUUCAGGCCCCGGUCCCAGCCGUCUGCACCCCCUAUCCUGAGGGCCCUGUUCCACAGCACGCCCACUUCCAGACGCAUGUGGACGCGGCGGUGAGUUCUGCGAGCGGCGAGCCGGAGGAGGAGAGGGAAGAGCUGCCCGAGACCCUUCAACACAAGCAGCUUCAAGUGGAGCUGGACUAUGAAACCCUGCUGGACCAGUACAGUCGCUUCAAGGCCUUGCCUGGCUCUCUGAGCAUGGAACAGCUGGGCCUG